CCAUGAACGAACAACAACUUCGCUCUAAUUCUCACAAUUCUAUGUUAAUCUUCUUUUCACCAUUAUCAUCAUUGUUAAGAAACUCUUCUCACCCAUCUCUUUGCUUCAGAUUUCACUACAACAACAAUAACAAAUAGAUUUGAGAAACUUCUCUCACCCACCUCUUUGCUUCAGAUUUUACUACAAAUAACAACAACAACAGGUAGAUUUGAGGGUGACAUAUCAACAAUUUUGUUAGAUUGCAUAGCAGACACAUUGGAUGAAUUUUGGUG